rnacentral:misc_RNA from 1 species
UCUGACCGCUGUAUCACCAGCCGCCGCCGUCGCAGCCGCAGCCGCAGCCGUAGCUACUGCCGUCGUAACGUGUCGCGUAAACUCUCGUCCAAGUGUGUCUUUGAUCACGCCGAACGAGGAGGACUUGUCGACAGGUUGAUCUGACUCAUCCUGUUGACAGGUCGCAGGUAGUUACUGCCAUUGACGCUUUCUAAACGCGUCAUCGGCUGAUUUCAUGCGCUGCGUCGUGACAGAUUCGCGCUGAUCAUCGCACGUGUUAUUCGGGAUGACGUGAUUAUCUAAAAAAUAUACAGCGACGAGAAGUGAUAAAUUAGUGUAGUGAUCUGGCUGGGCUAGCCGAAAUCGCAACCACUGAUGAUGUUGGAAAUGCGAAAUAAUGUUUAUUGAGUUUAUUAAUAAGUGCUUUUAUUUCUGGUAUAUUAAUGACACUUGUAAAUCAUUAUUAUACUGUCGUAAAAACAUCUUACUGAUCCGAAUGUUUGGAACAAAAGCAUAUUGUCGAUAAAGACAACUCGGAUCGAAUUUCAGUCAGGACAAUUUACUGUUUGAGCCAGUGACAGCAGUGCCGGUACUUCACGUGCUUCACGGUUAAUGUUUUGAUAGUCAUCUGACAAAAGCAGUGCUAGUACAAGACCUACUAAAAAUAUGUUUAGGAUGAAAAUCAAUAUCGUUUUUACAAAUAACAACGAUGAUCAGGCCUUAGAUAUUUUAAGCGUGGACAAGUCGUACAUUGGAUAGUUAAAUUUUAAAUUGAAGUACUGCUACAAGAACGUGUACGUGACUGAAACUCCUGAAUGAGUGUAGUGCAUUCUUAAAAGUAUCGUGUUUUCAAGAACUCGAAGACAUUGACUGGAUCUCACGUGAAGGCGAGGGAAAUAAUGUUGACUAGUAUACAGUGAAUGUCACAAGUUGUAAUUUCGUGUUAAGACCGUUAGAAACAAGCAACCGUGAAUGUUUCUUGGUUAGGGGACUGAAUUGAAUUCCAUCAUAACACUUCGAAGCAAUAUUUUGUCUUCAAAGUAUUCUGAGUGAUGAUAGUCGACGCAAGUUGCUAAGUUAGCAGCAAACGACCUCCUACUGUGUGGAACGGAUCCUUCAUCGAGAGCAGAAAUCAGCAGGUGACCACGUUGGAUCUCGCGGCGUUGACUGCCUACGGGGGCGUUUCGGGACCCAGGGUCGCGGUGGCGGGCACCGGGGUCCUUGCGCUACCCUGCUUGCUACCCGACAAGGGUUUAUCAUCGCCCGGAGGCCAGUCGAAGCCAAAGUCCGCAGGGCUGGCGGGUCUCGACAGCGAGGCGGUGCGCCGGUGGGUCGCGGAGGCUACGCGAACCGUCCGGCAAAUCCCGCCUUCGGUAGUAGUGUCUGCGAGUUCUCCACAACAUCAACAGCAACAUCAUCGUCAGCCGCAACAGCAGCAUCAGCACCAUCAUCAUACUACCCACAGGCAGCGUCAGGAACCUAGCCCACCGUCCGUGGGACUCUCCCCUUUCGUUCUACCAGUAUCGAUGACGCAGACCCCCAGUAUGCGUCUGCUGGAGAACAACAACUUGGUCGAAGUUGCCAUGGCCCAGCAGCAACAACAGUCUCAGCAGUCGACACAAAAACAAAAGCAGACAAGUCCCACAAAUAAUAACACCAUAGAAGCCUGGAGAUCGAUUCAGGGCGGGCAUCAGUGGUGGAGUCCGCCCAGUAGUAUUCAGCAAGAACAACAACAGCAACAGCAACAGCAACAGCAGCAGCAGCAGCAGCAGCAGCAGCAACAGCAGCAACAACAACAAGUAGCGUCGAUUGCACAGGUUUCUCAACCGCAAAGUCUGGUGGUCGGAUCGGUAUGUGGUCAGGUGCAGAAGCAUCAGCCGCAAGUGCAAUCGGAAAUCGAUCAGCCACUCGACUUCUCUGUUGGUUCCCUGCAGCAACAGAGGCUGUAUUCGCGCGUAAGGACUAUGCACGAGAGACUUCAGGGUAAGAUGCAUGACAACAACAACGGAACGAGCGGCCAAAAGAUCACCAAGGGAGAUGUUAGCAGACGAAGCUAUAGCCCCAGUGAAGCUAGCACCAGUAGCAGCGAAGACGAGGGUGUCUCUACCGGCGGCAGUCCUACGGGACCUCUUCGAGGCGCCUCAGAUUCGUGCGAACCCGUUGCGGAGCGACCUUACGGUAAAAUCUGGAUAGGCGACAAUGACGUCUCGUGGCGAACGGACCAGUCUUUCAAGAGGACAUCACCCUUAAAUCCCUGUGCCACGACGACUACCACGACGACGACAAGCGGUGGGCCACUGACACAUCCUCACCUGUCGCCACCCGUAACCACCCCCGAUCACAGAAGCCCCAGUAGCGUGCACGCGAAGCUUGGCAUCUCACCCGGUAGCGACGCGCUCGGCCGAAUCGAUAAGGAGCCAACCUCGCCAGAAUCCAUACAAGACGCAGACUUGCACGGCGACGUCGAUGGUCCUGAACUCAGCGGAGAUGAUAGAAGUAUCGCAAGUGACAUCCAAGAUGCCACCGAGGCGCAUCUUGAUAAUGACUCCAUGGACUCGGAUAGGGAAGCUCUCAAUCUGGUCACGGAUGUCUCGCAACGUAACAGUAGCAGCGGUACCAGCGGCAGCGCAUCCUCGCCGAGUUCCGGAAUCAGCAGUCAGCUCACGGGCAGUCAUCAGCAACAGCACACGCCCGGCCAACAAAACAACAGCAGUUCGCAGGCUGCACUGACCGCUCAAAUUAUUAGCCAACAAUUGCAAAUGAUGCACGGUUUAGGGUCCCAGGAUAUUCAAGCGCUCGCGUCGACGCUGCAGCAUCAUCAGCUACAGCAACUACAACAGCAACUACAACAAAUCGCGAUGUUUCAGGCCAAUCCGGCGGGACAGAUUCCACCGUUCUUUUUGCAAAAUCAGGGGCUGUUGCAGAGCGGUGGCUACCCAACAAGACCGAGUCAUCCGCGCUCACAGUCCAUGCAGGUGCAAGCGGCAGCGCAGUUACUACAGGCAACUAAACAGCAGGCUCUUCAGAAUAGCGGCAAUUUGGUCGGGCGAAGUUUGGCGCAGAGAUCAUCGCCACCACCCAGCACACCGCCAGCAGUAAAACCGUCAAGAUUAGAACCCUCGCCAGAGGAAACAACGGACCUCGAAGAGCUAGAACAGUUUGCCAAAACGUUCAAACAAAGACGGAUCAAGCUUGGUUUUACUCAAGGUGACGUCGGACUUGCCAUGGGCAAACUCUACGGCAAUGAUUUUUCCCAAACAACGAUCUCCAGGUUCGAAGCCCUAAAUCUUUCUUUCAAAAACAUGUGCAAGCUGAAACCAUUGUUACAAAAGUGGCUAGAGGAUGCCGAUAAUUCAUUGAACAAUCCCAAUUCUCUGUCGAAUCCACUUACGACACCGGAAGCGAUUGGCAGACGGCGGAAGAAGAGAACGUCGAUAGAGACCAGUGUGAGAGUGGCCCUCGAAAAAGCUUUUAUCCAAAAUCCAAAGCCCACGUCCGAGGAGAUAACCAUAUUGGCGGAUAGUCUUGCGAUGGAAAAAGAAGUAGUUCGUGUGUGGUUUUGUAACAGGAGGCAGAAAGAAAAGAGAAUCAAUCCACCAACGGCUGCGAUGGGCAGCCCGACGAUGACGUCGCCGGCGCCGGCUUCAGUGUUCGCUUCCCUUACCAAUUCUAUCUCUGGCAGUCCUCUAGCGCUCACAACGCAUUCUUCCAGCACCGGCCACUCGCAUCCUCAUCCAGCACCCAUACCUCUUGCUUUAGUAACCUCGUCUGGUGGCAAUUAUCAUCCGUUGAACAACAAGUCUCACGAGUGACAUCAGCAAGUCACCCAUCAAGGGGACACUCUCUAUCAUCAGCAUCAGCAAUCGCAUCAGCAACAGCAACAACAACACCAUCAUCAACAACAAGCACGACGCUUAUGCAACCUACCGGAAUUCUAUCAUUAGCCGAUGAUCCGAUUUCUUGAAGCUAUUAAUCGAGGCCGAAUGUUACCGAGGAUGCGAUGCGAAAUGUUCGCGUGCGGUGCCGAAUUUCUGCAACGUGAGUAGCAGCGCUGAGCACAUCCUUGAAGAAGAAUUUUCGUGACAAUUAUGAACGAUUGUUAAGCGGUAGUUAGUAAUAUUGUAGAUAACGCGGUACCUAGGUAAUACGUAAUGUAUAUACGAUCAUAUACACUAAAUGGCGAAUUAAAUGUAAGCGUACGCACAUUCGUAUAUCGAGAUGGAUGCAGUGGAGAUUCGGGCGCUUCCGACAUUUUAUGUUAAAUAUAUUUUUUUGUGAAAGUACAGGACACGUCAUGUAUUUUUUAAUGCGAGUACUUUAAUAUAUUUUAAUAUAUAUAUUUUUUGUAUAUAGUUUUCUUUGGUAUAUUAGAUAGAAUUUUUCGCACUCCGCUGUGACUCUCGAUUUGCGCUCGCUACGAUCGAUCCGUUUCCGCUAACACUUCGGUGAUUAAUUAAGGGCUAUGAUUUUAGAUUAUAGGCCAGGAAAAGUGAUAUACCAAUUAUAUACUUAUUCCUAAAAUCCUUGCGUGUGUAUAGAUUCCAUUAUCAACGUGAAGAAUUUUGCGUAAAAAUGUAUACAUAUAUAUAUAAAGUAAAUUUUAUUGUAAGUUCACCAACAUUACGCAAGUUAUCGACUGUGCAUCAUGUAGUAUAUACAAAAUUCAUGGUAUAUACGUACAUCUGCAUAUAUAAUGCAUAUACGUAUACAUAUGUGUAUAAACGAAUUGUACAUAGUAGAACUUAAAUAGGAGAUUGCGGAUAAUUAAGAACUAGCAAUGUGUACUGUUAUCAUCAUUAUCAUCAUGUCGUCAUUAUCAUUAUAUUAUUGAGAUCACUGUGUAGUUACAAUACACACUACUGUUGUUAAUAUCGCUUGUCAUAUAUUACAACGCGACUUUUUACAUACAGACAGUGUUUUACUUUUCUAUAACUGUAUUUACACAUGAAGGAAGUGCUGUCAUUAUUUGAUAAUUUGCACGGCUGUCACCGCAUUGUUACGUUGUGCUGCAAAAUAGUUCGAAAUGUAACAGCAGUAUUUUGAUAAGUGCAAACUUUAAUUACGUAGUUUUAAAAAAUUGUUGCUUUAACAAAGUUUUCAACAAAGUUGCUUUUAAUAAAUAGUUAACAACAGAGAGAAACUUCGCGGAAGUUUUAUACAAAUGUGUUAGAAAAUUUCUUUACGUGAAAAUCAAGUCAAACUGUUAGAUCACGUGUGAGCAACAAAUCGACAAGCCUUUUGUCUCAUUUCAUACUUCAUCUCAUUUUUAUCUUUAAACCUGAACUCCCAGAGUUGUGGACCAAGCUGUAGCGAAAACACACUGUCGACAAAAACACGCGCACGCGGACAGAGGGUCGAAUUAUACUAAGAAUAAAAAGAGAUAAAAAGAGAUACGCAAAUAAAAACAGUUCCUAAGAUCGCACAUCCGUUGGCAGGUGCGCGGACGACGAUGAGUGAAAAGAGGACAGGGAGGUAGAGAAUAAAGCUCAGAAUAUAAUUCAGAAGGAAAUUCGAAACAGGAGAUAGUUAUAUAAGAGAGUCAUAAAGACAGAGAAACGGUUAUUGAUUUUUGUUUGUCAGCCGUUUAUGAAUAAUUAACAUGAUAAUGAUAUAGAGAUAAUGAUGUAGAGAAUUCCCCUCCUCUCCUCGCUACGGCAUCAUCGUCAGCUGAUUAUUCGAUCAAUAUGUUUGCUAUAAUGCGUUUGAUAGGCGUGAGUUGAAAAUAGAAUGCAUUUUUAUUAUAUUAGUUAGUCCGUCAAUAAUUAUUAUUAGUUAUUAUUAUUUCAUUAUAUUUUAACUUUUAUUAUUUGAGAAUAAAAGAGCUAGAGAGCUUUCAGUUACAGCAGCA